rnacentral:rRNA from 1 species
CACGCCUUAAACGAUGAGAGCUAGUUGUCAGUAAGCAUGCUUAUUGGUGACGCAGCUAACGCAUUAAGCUCUCCGCCUGGGGAGUACGGCCGCAAGGUUAAAACUCAAAGAAAUUGACGG